GUCCACAAGCACCUGUGUGUGUAGCCUGGUUCCCGAGGCCUUCCGAUGUGCAAGCACGAAGGCCAGGCACUCACUGUCGAAUGGAUUCUUCCACUGAUCAAAAUCCAAUAUGGCGGACUCAAUGAUAAUUUUCCAUACAUAUGGAAAGAAGAAACAUAUGAUAGUGGGUGAAAAAACACCCUCAUAUAUAAUGCUUCAUGAAUAUGCAAAACCAUGCCAACAGUCUACAGACUCCAGAUGGAAAGAGAUGGAGAAAGAAUUUCUAAAGGGGUAUUCAAGGACCCAUCCUCCUCCACACUAAUUCAUAUUGGAAGGAAUUGACAUCCAACUUGAAUAAAGAAUUACAGACUUCCAGAACAGGUGCAUCAUGGAGAUCCUUUUAAAAAGGAGAGGCCAGAUCUUCAGAUGACUUUAUUGAAAAUGAGAAAUUUCUGAGUGGAAGUGACGAAUGUGGCAUGCAUACAAGCAGACAUCAGCAUUCCCUCCCUCUUGUUUGUAUCAGAGGUGAGCUUUUUGAGCAAGACUCAUGGAGGAAGUUUGAGAGUGUCAGUUCUCAGAUCAAAAAGUUAGCUAGCAGUAGGAGGAGUAGCAAUUCAUUCCACAGUAUGACAUGAGAAAUACGUGACUAGAAAGACCUUAAAAAGGAGAUUUGGCAUUGUUUCAUGUGGAGAUUAAAGAACCUUCGAAAUAUAUAACACAGACAUGUUUCAGUUACUUGGGGAUAACACUUAUGAGGAAUUUUGCUAACUUUCAGAUUGGAAUUCGUGCUUGCACAUCGGAAGGCCUCGGGAACCAGGCUACUACAUAAUCAUGAAGCAGUUUCAUUUUGCAACCGGAUAUAAGAAAUUUUAUUUUAUUUCGCAUUCCGAUUCCGAUCGAAAGUUGUUGACUGGGAAUGACGUGUUUUAAUUUAAUAUACAUGUAGCAUCAAGCAUUUUUUAUAUCACAUUAAAAAAAAAAACAAAUAUAUACUCAUACACAAU